CUGCAAGUCGAACGGACCGAUCCUGUCGCAGCGGACCGAGGAUUCGUCUGACGUCCAAAGCUUGGGAUAGGUUAGUGGCGUACGGGUGAGUAACACGUAGGUGACCUGCCCCGAAGAGGGGGAUAACUGCUGGAAACGGCAGCUAAUACCCCAUGUGAUCGGCGAUUCGUCUCGCUGAUUAAAGCUCCGGCGCUUCGGGAGGGGCCUGCGGCCGAUUAGCUAGUUGGUGGGGUAAUGGCUCACCAAGGCGAUGAUCGGUAGCUGGUCUGAGAGGAUGAUCAGCCACACUGGCACUGACACACGGGCCAGACUCCUACGGGAGGCAGCAGUGAGGAAUAUUGCGCAAUGGGCGAAAGCCUGACGCAGCAACGCCGUGUGGGCGAUGAAGGCCUUCGGGUUGUAAAGCCCUUUUCUGGGGGAAGAGGAAGGACG
rnacentral:rRNA from 1 species